rnacentral:misc_RNA from 1 species
AAGUCGUAACAAGGUUUUCGUAGGUGAACCUGCGGAAGGAUCAUUAGUGAACUCUGGGAGUCCCUCGUCACACGAGAAGGCCCAAUCCACUACUUUCAAACACUCGUGCAUUUGUCCCUUUUAUUUUAACCCUUUUGCAUUACCAAAAGUCGUUGUUGCAAGCAUUUUGAUAAUUGAAAGAAAAACUUUCAGCAAUGGAUCUCUUGGCUCUC